rnacentral:tRNA from 1 species
GCAUCGGUAGUUCAAUGGCGAGAAUGCUCGCCUGCCAUGCGGGGCCCGGGUUCGAUUCCCGACCGAUGCU